rnacentral:ncRNA from 1 species
AAUAAUGCGGGUUGUAGUUGAUGAACGUAUAGCCGCGCGCCUGAUCGAUGGUGUGGAAGAGCGGGUUCCAGUUGAACAGCACCAACAUCUUGUGCGGCAGGGUAUUGGCGAGGAACAUCUUGCCCGAGGCGAUCAUGUUCGCGCGCGA